rnacentral:rRNA from 1 species
CAGUAGCCGCGGGAAAACGAAGGGUGCAAGCGUUACUCGGAAUUACUGGGCGUAAAGCGUGCGCAGGCGGUUGUGUAAGACAGGUGUGAAAUCCCCGGGCUUAACCUGGGAACUGCGCUUGUGACUGCACAGCUAGAGUAUGGCAGAGGGGGGUGGAAUUCCACGUGUAGCAGUGAAAUGCGUAGAGAUGUGGAGGAACACCGAUGGCGAAGGCAGCCCCCUGGGCCAAUACUGACGCUCAUGCACGAAAGCGUGGGGAGCAAACAGGAUUAGAUACCCCUGUAGUCCCUGUCUCUUAUAC